UGGUUAAGCUCAGUGGGAUUUUUGUAAAUUUAUAUUUUUUUUUUCCUUUCUAUUUUCUCCUUCAGGUUCUUAUGUUUCUUCUCUUCCUCCCCCAUUCCCCCGACUCUCUCACUGUCUUUCUCUUAGUGAAACGGUUCGUGUCGUGUGAUUUGCGAAUUGUAACGGGUCGUGUUCGUGUUUAACAUUUUUCACCCGUUUUUUUAUCGUGUCGUGUCAACUUGUUAAGAAAAGCAUGUUGACACAAACACGACACGAACACUAUAAACACGAUACGAAUGCCAGGUCCAUUUAUGGGUGCACGCGUUAAGCCAAUCCAAGCCAGUUAUGGGGCCAAGCAAACGGAACUUUUGGCUGCAAUUGAAGGAUUGCGUUUUGCUCUUGACAUGGACGUAUUUGACUUGUGUCAUUCUAGAGAUGGACGCAAAAGAAUGCAUAACUGGUAUUCUUUCGGCGGAGGAAAUUCUUUCGGCAGAGGAAAUUCUUUCGGCGGAGGAAUACAAUGAAACAUAUGGUCUUUUACUUGAAGAAGCAAAAUGCAUUUUAAGCAAAUUUAGAGUAGCUUUAGGUCAGUGGUCCCUAAGGAGCUACAAUAAGGUGGCACACACCUUGGCUCAAUUUGCAAUCAGCUUUAAUGAUUUUGUUUCCAUGGAUUGAGGAAGCACCUACAUGGUUGCUCGCAUUUCUUUCUG